AUCCAGCUGACGAGUCCAAAAUACGACGAAGCGCGCAUCCUGGAU
rnacentral:hammerhead_ribozyme from 1 species